rnacentral:rRNA from 1 species
GUAGGUGGCGAGCGUUGUCCGGAUUUACUGGGCGUAAAGGGCGUGCAGGCGGUCUGCUAAGUCUAGGGUGAAAGCUCCCGGCUCAACUGGGAGAGGUCCUUGGAUACUGACAGACUUGAGGGAGGCAGAGGAGAAUGGAAUUCCCGGUGUAGUGGUGAUAUGCGUAGAUAUCGGGAGGAACACCAGUGGCGAAGGCGGUUCUCUGGGCCUUACCUGACGCUGAGACGCGAAAGCGUGGGGAGCGAACCGGAUUAGAUACCCGGGUAGUCCACGCCGUAAACUAUGAACACUAGGUGUGGGGGGUAUCGACCCCCUCCGUGCCGAAGCUAACGCAGUAAGUGUUCCGCCUGGGGAGUACGGCCGCAAGGCUA